UACGGAGGGUGCAAGCAUUGAUCGGAAUUACUGGGCGUAAAGGGCGCGUAGGCGGUUUUGAAAGUCAGAUGUGAAAUUCCGGGGCUCAACCCCGGAGCUGCAUUUGAAACUUCAGAGCUAGAGUUCAGUUGGGGUAAACGGAAUUCCACGUGUAGCGGUGAAAUGCGUAGAUAUCUGGAGGAACACCGGUGGCGAAGGCGGCAUCCUGGACCGGUAUUGACACUGAGGCGCGAAAGCCAGGGGAGCAAACGGG
rnacentral:rRNA from 1 species